GUGCUGGCUUUGGCAGCACAUGUACUAAAAUUGGAAUAAUACAGAGAAGAUUAGCAUGGCCCCUGUGCAAGGAUGACAUGCAAAUUCACCACUUGAGGAGGAAGGCUUA